GGUGCUGGUGAUCUGUCUCUUCCAACCCUCUGCUUCUCAGCGGCGUCUUGCUGUUCAACGUUUCCAGCAAAAAGCUGCCCCAGCUUAGCCACAAGCCCCAACGUUUGUGGCGUGCCCCAGAGCAGUCCCAACACUGCGGCUGGUUCGCCACAAUUACCCUCAUUGCUCAGUCAAACCAGCUGAACACUGGACCCCGCUCAAUCCAGCUCUUUAAGAUUCGCCAGUGAUAUUUGGAUGCGAGGAAAGGCCUUGAGAGGGCAAGCCACCCCUGCAGCUAGUGCACAAUCAGUCUGCAAUCGGCAAGAAUUGACGUCAGAUUCUCUAUCUGCUUUCAGCGUAUUUGGGCCGGUCUCCAGCUAUCCCACUGGGCGCGUGGUUAGCCGAGGCUGGACGUAAUUUCAUUAAGAUCACAAAAUGUUACAAGUGAGUCAGUGCCUGAGCCCGGGUCACUGCCGGUGAUCGUCACAGGGAUAGCCACUGUCUGCUAGCAUUGAAUCAGGGAGCUGAUCAGGCGGUUAAUGAAAUGGCCUGGCAUGGAUCACCCAAGAAAAGAAGAUAUUAAAAUGGACAGGGUGGGAGGCAGAGUAUAACCUGACUGACAUCGUACGAGAGACAAGGGAUGGGAAUAAUACAGGCAACGCUCCCUGUGAAUAACUCCCCCAUGCCCCAAGAAAAGGACCCAACUUCCUACCAUACCAAA